GAUGAACGCUGGCGGCGUGCCCAACACAUGCAAGUCGAGCGUGAACCCUGCGAAUGAAACUUCGGUCGAUUUUGCAGGGGGAAAGCGGCGGACGGGUGAGUAACGCGUAGGUAACCUGCCCCAUACUGAGGGAUAGCCUCGGGAAACCGGGAUUAAUACCUCAUAACACCGUAUAUUCGCAUGGAUGUGCGGUCAAAGAUUUAUCGGUAUGGGAUGGGCCUGCGUCUGAUUAGCUGGUUGGUGGGGUAACGGCCUACCAAGGCGACGAUCAGUAGCCGACCUGAGAGGGUGAUCGGCCACAUUGGAACUGAGACACGGUCCAAACUCCUACGGGAGGCAGCAGUGGGGAAUAUUGCACAAUGGGCGAAAGCCUGAUGCAGCAACGCCGCGUGAGCGAAGAAGGCCUUUGGGUCGUAAAGCUCUGUCGGGUAGGAAGAUAAUGACGGUACUACCCGAGGAAGCCCCGGCUAACUACGUG
rnacentral:rRNA from 1 species